GCCGAGGUGGCGGAAUUGGUAGACGCGCCAGCUUCAGGUGCUGGUGGGGGCAACCUCGUGCCGGUUCGAGUCCGGCCCUCGGUACCA
rnacentral:tRNA from 4 species